GACGAACGCUGGCGGCGUGCUUAACACAUGCAAGUCGAACGGAAAGGCCCUGCUUUUGUGGGGUGCUCGAGUGGCGAACGGGUGAGUAACACGUGAGUAACCUGCCCUUGACUUUGGGAUAACUUCAGGAAACUGGGGCUAAUACCGGAUAGGAGCUCCUGCUGCAUGGUGGGGGUUGGAAAGUUUCGGCGGUUGGGGAUGGACUCGCGGCUUAUCAGCUUGUUGGUGGGGUAGUGGCUUACCAAGGCUUUGACGGGUAGCCGGCCUGAGAGGGUGACCGGCCACAUUGGGACUGAGAUACGGCCCAGACUCCUACGGGAGGCAGCAGUGGGGAAUAUUGCACAAUGGGCGGAAGCCUGAUGCAGCAACGCCGCGUGCGGGAUGACGGCCUUCGGGUUGUAAACCGCUUUCGCCUGUGACGAAGCGUGAGUGACGGUAAUGGGUAAAGAAGCACCGGCUAACUACGUGCCAGCAGCCGCGGUGAUACGUAGGGUGCGAGCGUUGUCCGGAUUUAUUGGGCGUAAAGGGCUCGUAGGUGGUUGAUCGCGUCGGAAGUGUAAUCUUGGGGCUUAACCCUGAGCGUGCUUUCGAUACGGGUUGACUUGAGGAAGGUAGGGGAGAAUGGAAUUCCUGGUGGAGCGGUGGAAUGCGCAGAUAUCAGGAGGAACACCAGUGGCGAAGGCGGUUCUCUGGGCCUUUCCUGACGCUGAGGAGCGAAAGCGUGGGGAGCGAACAGGCUUAGAUACCCUGGUAGUCCACGCUGUAAACGGUGGGUACUAGGUGUGGGGUCCAUUCCACGGGUUCCGUGCCGUAGCUAACGCUUUAAGUACCCCGCCUGGGGAGUACGGCCGCAAGGCUAAAACUCAAAGGAAUUGACGGGGCCCCGCACAAGCGGCGGAGCAUGCGGAUUAAUUCGAUGCAACGCGUAGAACCUUACCUGGGUUUGACAUGGAUCGGGAGUGCUCAGAGAUGGGUGUGCCUCUUUUGGGGUCGGUUCACAGGUGGUGCAUGGCUGUCGUCAGCUCGUGUCGUGAGAUGUUGGGUUAAGUCCCGCAACGAGCGCAACCCUUGUUCACUGUUGCCAGCACGUUAUGGUGGGGACUCAGUGGAGACCGCCGGGGUCAACUCGGAGGAAGGUGGGGAUGACGUCAAGUCAUCAUGCCCCUUAUGUCCAGGGCUUCACGCAUGCUACAAUGGCUGGUACAGAGAGUGGCGAGUCUGUGAGGGUGAGCGAAUCUCGGAAAGCCGGUCUCAGUUCGGAUUGGGGUCUGCAACUCGACCUCAUGAAGUCGGAGUCGCUAGUAGUCGCAGAUCAGCAACGCUGCGGUGAAUACGUUCCCGGG
rnacentral:rRNA from 1 species